rnacentral:rRNA from 1 species
UCCUGCCAGAGGUUACUGCUAUCGGUGUUCGACUAAGCCAUGCAAGUCAUAUGCUCUUCGUGAACAUGGCAUACUGCUCAGUAACACGUGGAUAACCUGCCCUUGGGUCUGGGAUAACCCCGGGAAACUGGGGAUAAUACCGGAUAACGCAUAUGUGCUGGAAUGCUUUAUGCGUAAAACGGAUUCGUCCGCCCAAGGAUGGGUCUGCGGCCUAUCAGGUAGUAGUGGGUGUAAUGUACCUACUAGCCAACAACGGGUACGGGUUGUGAGAGCAAGAGCCCGGAGAUGGAUCCUGAGACAUGAAUCCAGGCCCUACGGGGCGCAGCAGGCGCGAAAACUUUACAAUGCGGGAAACCGUGAUAAGGGAACACCGAGUGCCAGCAUCAUAUGCUGGCUGUCCAGAUGUGUAAACUACAUCUGUUAGCAAGGGCCGGGCAAGACCGGUGCCAGCCGCCGCGGUAACACCGGCGGCCCGAGUGGUGACCGUUAUUAUUGGGUCUAAAGGGUCCGUAGCCGGUUUGGUCAGUCCUCCGGGAAAUCUGAUAGCUUAACUGUUAGGCUUUCGGGGGAUACUGCCAGGCUUGGAACCGGGAGAGGUAAGAGGUACUACAGGGGUAGGAGUGAAAUCUUGUAAUCCCUGUGAGACCACCUGUGGCGAAGGCGUCUUACCAGAACGGGUUCGACGGUGAGGGACGAAAGCUGGGGGCACGAACCGGAUUAGAUACCCGGGUAGUCCCAGCCGUAAACUAUGCUCGCUAGGUGUCAGGCAUGGCGCGACCGUGUCUGGUGCCGCAGGGAAGCCGUGAAGCGAGCCACCUGGGAAGUACGGCCGCAAGGCUGAAACUUAAAGGAAUUGGCGGGGGAGCACAACAACGGGUGGAGCCUGCGGUUUAAUUGGACUCAACGCCGGACAACUCACCGGGAACGACAGCAAUAUGUAGGCCAGGCUGAAGACCUUGCCUGAAUCGCUGAGAGGAGGUGCAUGGCCGUCGCCAGUUCGUACUGUGAAGCAUCCUGUUAAGUCAGG